rnacentral:rRNA from 1 species
GUGGGGAAUAUUGGACAAUGGGCGAAAGCCUGAUCCAGCCAUGCCGCGUGAGUGAUGAAGGCCCUAGGGUUGUAAAGCUCUUUUGUGCGGGAAGAUAAUGACGGUACCGCAAGAAUAAGCCCCGGCUAACUUCGUGCCAGCAGCCGCGGUAAUACGAAGGGGGCUAGCGUUGCUCGGAAUCACUGGGCGUAAAGGGUGCGUAGGCGGGUCUUUAAGUCAGAGGUGAAAUCCUGGAGCUCAACUCCAGAACUGCCUUUGAUACUGAGGAUCUUGAGUUCGGGAGAGGUGAGUGGAACUGCGAGUGUAGAGGUGAAAUUCGUAGAUAUUCGCAAGAACACCAGUGGCGAAGGCGGCUCACUGGCCCGAUACUGACGCUGAGGCACGAAAGCGUGGGGAGCAAACAGGAUUAGAAACCCGGGUAGUCC